UAAGUAGAAUAAAUGAUCGCGGCUGCAGGACCGAAAGGCUGCAGGUGAGGAAAGUCCGGGCUCCACAGGGCAGGAUGCCGGAUAACGUCCGGUGGAGGCGACUCCAAGGAAAGUGCAACAGAAAUAAACCGCCUAU
rnacentral:RNase_P_RNA from 1 species